GUGGAUACGGACACGGAGGAGGUGGAUACGGACACGGAGGAGGUGGAUACGGAAAAGGACACGGCGGAGGUGGAUACGGAAAAGGACAUGGUGGAGGUGGAUAUGGCCACGGUGGAGGUGGAUACGGACACGGAGGAGGUGGAUACGGACACGGAGGAGGUGGAUACGGACACGGAGGAGGUGGAUAUGGCCAUGGUGGAGGAGGAUACGGAAAAGGCCAUGGAGGCGGCUACGGGUAUGGCCAUUAAGGUCAAAUAGAAUAAGUGUUACGUCGAAAUGAGCCAGUUGGUAGCUGUAAAUACGCAGUAAAUAAAUCCGAAAUCGUA